AGUUGCCGGGCGCCAUGUUGGUGAAGCGCCGGGGCUGCUAAUGCUCCCUCUCCUCUUCCUCUUUGGCUCCCUCUCUCUCUUUUUCCAGACACCUUAAGGAAUUCAACAACCCCUCCCCUGCACACAGGCUUCUUCCAGAUGCCAUGUUGCAAGAUUUCCUCUGGAGAGGGCCUCUUGGCAAGGAACUGAUGUCUCUGGCCAGCAGCCAGUGAGGACCUAAGAUCUGUCAACAGCCAUGCAGAAGGGACAAUGAAUUGUGACUCGGAAAUUAAUCAGAUGAGACCUGAUGACUGAAGUACAUCACAGAGCUAGGAAGAGAGAUUACUAAGCAACACGUUGGUAUCAUCUCCAGAAGCCUUCAAAAUGGAAUAUGGUCAGCCUCUCCAUCCUUUCUUCCUCUCACCCUUUUUUUCAGACAUCUCAGUUGACAACCUGAGCAAUAGCUCUGACCUGGAAGCAUCCAGCUUUAUAGCCAAAGAGAAAAAGCGCAGACCUUUGUCCCAGAAUUCUCAUCAGAAGUGUCUUUCAUCUCAUUGGCCCUGUGUGAGUCAUGUGCCCACCCCUAAACCAAUCACCAUGGCCUCAGGAAUGCAUUGUGAUGAGUAGUUUAGGCUGGGGUCAGUUUUAUCCCCAUCCAAACAACAGAGCUGAAAUCCGAGGAGAAAUGAUUUCCCAAAGAAAAUUCCAAGGAUCAUUUAACAGAAGAAAUGUACAAGAUGCUGGGGACAGAACUACAGGCAUCCCCCAAGCUCCCAAGGCCUGUAACAAACCUCCACUGCCCUAGGACUCAGCCUCCUGAGGAACCACUUCUCUGUGUAAAUACUUAAACCCAUCCCAUGGCUGACACGCACGUGGCCCAUGGAAAAAUGGCUUCUGUAGGACACACCUCCUCCUUUUCCCAAAUGGACUUUGUUCUUAAAAUCCUUUAAUGAGGAGCAAGCAAGCAUCACUCAUCUAUCUGGAUGUGGACUCAGGGCCAGAGGCAUUUGAUGAUUUAUUAAUUGACCCACCAAAUCUAGUUCGUCCCCAUAGGCCAAUGCUAACAGGCCAUUUCAUUUAUUACUUGGCAAAGUUUGACUUCAUGAAGCAGAUCCCUUUUCAAUUACUUCUUACAGAAAAAUUUCCUUUGGCAAUUCAGUGCAGUGAACUUUUAUUAAGCACCAAGUAUGUGUCAUGAACUGCUGGGCUGGGUACAAAGAUGUGCUCACAACCCAGCAGAUGGGACAGGUCUGUGAAUGAAUGAGUGCAGUGCUGUUCAGACAAUGUUCUAUUCAUUUUCUAAGGCAGCCCUAAGAAAUUGCCACAAACUUGGUGGUUUCACACAAAAGAAAUUUAUUCACUCACACUUCUGGAGGCCAGAAGUCUGAAAUCAAGGCAUUGGCAGGGCUGGUUCCUUCUGGAAACUCUGAGGAACAAUCAGUUCCAUGCCUCUCUCCUAGCUUCUGGUUUCCAUCAGCAAUCCUUGGCAUUCCCUGAUUUGUAGACGGGUCGCUGCGAUCUCUCUAUCUCCAUCUCCGUCUCCGUCUUCACCUGGCCUUCCCCUCCGUGUCUAUUAAAUCUCCUUCUGCCUUUUCUCAUUGGAUCUUGGGCCUACCGUAAUCCAAGAUGAUUGAAACUCAAGAUCCUUAACUUAAUAUUAUCUACCAAGACCCCUUUUCACAAUAAGGUUGCAUUGACAGGUUCUGAGUGGGUGUGUCUUUUGGGAAUCCACCAUUUCACCCACAGCAGUUGCUUUGCAGGGUGUGGCGAUGCAUCAGAGGGGAGAGUGGAUUUCUGUCUUUAGAAGGUGACAGCAGUGGUGUCCUCACAGAGGAGAGCAUGUCUGAGCUCUUCACAAGGACAGAGGGGGUUAUCAGGAAGGAAAAGCAUUCCAGGAAAUAGCAGGUGUUAAGGCAGAGAGCAGAGAAGGAGCAGUCACCUUCAGGGAACAAACAGUCAUGUGGCAUGGCUGAAACAAGGGAGAGAGUGACCAAAGAAGAGGCUUGACAGGGAGGUGGGGGCCUGAGAGCCUCGGGAAGGAGUCUGGACUUGAGCCCAUGGGUAACACGGAGCUGUUACAGAGCCACUGCAGAAACAACAGGUUUGUCCUAUAUGAAUGAGUGCUUGGGUCUACUCAAAGGGUCUUAAGGAUUUUCAGCAUUUCCUUUGUAACCUUGGCAAAUAAUAGAUUGUGAGCAAUG